GUGAAUCAUCAAAUUUUUGAACGCAAAUUGCACUCUCUUCGGAGAGUAUGCCUGUUUGAGGGUCAGCCUAAAAAAAAUCGACAUAGUCGCUGUUUCGCGGUGACAUUCGUCGGAAAUUGGGUCAUCUUAAACCUUUGGGUUUUUUAAGCGGCUUAAAUUUUUUUUUCGAUUUCACGAAAGUUUUCAAGAUUUUACUUUCUACACACCU
rnacentral:misc_RNA from 1 species